rnacentral:piRNA from 1 species
UUAAUUGAUGUGACUCAGGCACCUGCUUGCC